UUUAAAAUCCCUAGGAAGUCUGAGAGAUUUUUUAAAUGAAUUGCUGAAAAUUUCUUCACUCUUUCAUGUCCUCUCUUUGCUAACACUUUCGGUACAUUCUAUUCUCCCAGAUGAUAUAACAGAGGGCAUUUUUUUCUCUUCUGCUUCGUCUCUCCAUUUCGGCAAUCGUUUCUAUUUUUUCGUUAUUUUAGCAAUCGAUUUCGCCUCUUUAUCUCUGCUUCCAAUUUCUCUUUUUUUCUCUUCUCUAAUCGCUUAAUCAGAACUUCAAAUUGGUAAUGGAUUCUGAUUUUUCUUUCCUUGUGCGUUGCUUUGGAGAUUGCAGGUUCAGUCCAAUUUAAUCGCGAUUUCUUCAUAUUUGUUCGGUUCGUGUUGCUUCAAAGCUAUUUCUCGUGUGCGUUGUUAGGUUUGUGCAAUGUUUCUCGUGUUGUGUUGCGUUUUGUUGUAGGCUAGGUUCGGUUGGGUUCGACUUGUGCUUACAGCUCAAUAAUCGUGCUUUGUAUAUUAAUUAGAGUACCAGUGUCUCAAUCUUGAGAGUUUCUAAUUCAUUAAAAUACAAAUUGUUCAGCUUCCAUUCUUUUCUCUCUUGUUUUUCGUAAGUUUUUUUUAGUUUCACGAGUUUGGGAGCUUAGAAGCAAUUUCAUGAGAUGAAAUGAACGAACCAUGUGGUGUUGCCUUGGCUAUGAUCUCAAACUAGUUGAGCUCAAUAGCAGCAUUCAGAACUCCAGGAUACACCACAGUAGCGCUAAGUACUACAUGAUUUUCAUCUUUUUCAUUCCAAGUUAUUUAGGAAGUAAUAAUGUUUUUACAUGUAUUCCUUCGCUCAUAUUACUGUUUGCAUCCUACUUUUGCUUUUCUCAUCAUUUGAUUAUUCGAACAUCAUUUUAAGGCAUGCAUAUGAUCUAUAUUUCUAUCUGCCAGGUUCUUAGAUAUGGUUAAAAUCAGCUGUUGGCUUGCUUUCUACUUAGCAAUUAAGGUUCAUACUCCAUAUUAUAACAAGUGUAUGUACAAUAGUCUUGAGUUGAAUGAACCCAAAAAAAAAGACAAACAAGGUUGUUGGAACUUAGUAAGUACACCUAUAAUUUAAAUUCUAUUUCUCUUAAUUAUUAACUUAUUUUUAUAAGAUUAUUUUAUCAGUAACUUGGUCUCAAAAAAGAGCUUCUUCCACCUUAUCUGGAUCCAAGCCUCACCAAUAUUGAAGAGCUGAUGACAGGAGUCAGUUUUGCCUCUACUAGUUCCGGCUCUGACCCAGUUACACCAACCAUCAUUUUGGAAUAUUUCAGGGAAUGCAAAAAAAGAAUGGAGGAUGUGGUGGGUAAGCAAAGAAUUGAAGAUCAUGUGAAGAAAGCUGCGUACUUCAUCAGUGCUGGUACAAAUGACUUCGUUCUUAAUUAUUUUUCUGUACCAUUACGAAGAAAGAGCUACACUCUCGAAGCGUAUCAAAACUACUUAAUCCAACGCAUCACAGAUUUUAUAUAGGUUAGUUCAAUUGCUCCCAUGAUUUAACCUCCAUCAUUAAUAGAACUGGAGACUUUUUUGGUUAAUAGAGGUGGACUUGUAAAAUUGAAUUGCUCUCCAUCAAUCACCCGUUAUUCUCCCUUUUUUUGGAUA